CCUACGGGAGGCAGCAGUGGGGAAUAUUGGACAAUGGGGGAAACCCUGAUCCAGCGACGCCGCGUGAGUGAAGAAGUAUUUCGGUACGUAAAGCUCUAUCAGCAGGAAAGAAAAUGACGGUACCUGACUAAGAAGCCCCGGCUAACUACGUGCCAGCAGCCGCGGUAUUACGUAGGGGGCAAGCGUUAUCCGGAUUUACUGGGUGUAAAGGGGGCGUAGACGGCAGCGCAAGUCUGGAGUGAAAUGCCGGGGCCCAACCCCGGAACUGCUCUGGAAACUGUGAAGCUGGAGUGCAGGAGAGGUAAGCGGAAUGCGUGGUGUAGCGGUGAAAUGCGUAGAUAUCAGGAGGAACACCGGCGGCGAAGGCGGCUUACUGGACUGUAACUGACGUUGAGGCUCGAAGGCGUGGGGAGCAAACAGGAUUAGAUACCCGAGUAGUC
rnacentral:rRNA from 1 species